rnacentral:rRNA from 1 species
AUUGAACGCUAGCGGGAUGCCUUACACAUGCAAGUCGAACGGCAGCGCGGACUUCGGUCUGGCGGCGAGUGGCGAACGGGUGAGUAAUGUAUCGGAACGUGCCCAGUAGCGGGGGAUAACUACUCGAAAGAGUAGCUAAUACCGCAUACGCCCUACGGGGGAAAGGGGGGGAUCGCAAGACCCCUCACUAUCGGAGCGCCCGCUAUCGGAUUAGCUAGUUGGUAAGGUAAAGGCUCACCAAGGCGACGAUCCGUAGCUGGUUUGAGAGGACGACCAGCAACAAUGGGACUGGGACACGGCCCAGACUCCUACGGGAGGCAGCAGUGGAGAAUUUUGGACAAUGGGGGCAACCCUGAUCCAGCCAUCCCGCGUAUGCGAUGAAGGGCUUCGGGUUGUACAGCACUGUUGGCAGGAAAGAAAUCGCAUGGGUUAAUACCCUGUGUAGAUAACGGUACCUGCAGAAUAAGCACCGGCUAACUACGUGCCAGCAGCCGCCGUAA